UCCAGACUCCUACGGGAGGCAGCAGUGAGGAAUAUUGGUCAAUGGGCGCGAGCCUGAACCAGCCAAGUCGCGUGAGGGAUGACGGCCCUACGGGUUGUAAACCUCUUUUGUCGGGGAGCAAAUUCCGCCACAUGUGGCGGAGUCGAGAGUGCCCGAAGAAAAAGCAUCGGCUAACUCCGUGCCAGCAGCCGCGGUAAUACGGAGGAUGCGAGCGUUAUCCGGAUUUAUUGGGUUUAAAGGGUGCGCAGGCGGGGGCACAAGUCAGCGGUAAAAGCGGGGGGCUCAACCCCGCUCCGCCGUUGAAACUGUGUCCCUUGAGUGCGCGAAGGGUAGGCGGAAUGCGUGGUGUAGCGGUGAAAUGCAUAGAUAUCACGCAGAACUCCGAUCGCGAAGGCAGCCUACCGGCGCGCAACUGACGCUCAUGCACGAAAGCGUGGGUAUCGAACAGGAUUAGAUACCCUCGUAGAA
rnacentral:rRNA from 1 species